rnacentral:rRNA from 1 species
GACGAACGCUGGCGGCGUGCCUAAUACAUGCAAGUAGAACGCUGAAGGAGGAGCUUGCUCUUCUGGAUGAGUUGCGAACGGGUGAGUAACGCGUAGGUAACCUGCCUGGUAGCGGGGGAUAACUAUUGGAAACGAUAGCUAAUACCGCAUAACAGUAGAUGUUGCAUGACAUUUGCUUAAAAGGUGCAAUUGCACCACUACCAGAUGGACCUGCGUUGUAUUAGCUAGUUGGUGGGGUAACGGCUCACCAAGGCGACGAUACAUAGCCGACCUGAGAGGGUGAUCGGCCACCCUGGGACUGAGACACGGCCCAGACUCCUACGGGAGGCAGCAGUAGGGAAUCUUCGGCAAUGGACGGAAGUCUGACCGAGCAACGCCGCGUGAGUGAAGAAGGUUUUCGGAUCGUAAAGCUCUGUUGUAAGAGAAGAACGAGUGUGAGAGUGGAAAGUUCACACUGUGACGGUAUCUUACCAGAAAGGGACGGCUAACUACGUG